UCCUCACCCUCAGCAGGGCUCCAGCCAGUCUUGCCAUGUUUUAAUUUUAUUAAUUGAAAGAAAGGGCUAGGGGGAGAAAGGAGCAAAAGGAAACAUGAAAGGAUUUCAGGAGUUUUUUUAAUGCUCUUUUACAAAAUGAAAGAUUGACACAGUAAGACUAGAGAUUUCGCCGCUGAAGAUGUUUUUGCUGAAUAGAGUCAAACGGAGUUCUGUGGAAUUGUGUCAGUGUUCCUUUCCUGGAAGACACACGUCUCUUGGUGAAUUGUGCAGAUAGGAGCAUUCACUUUCCUUCUCUGCAAGAAGACCUGAGAAGAAACUGCAUUUGCUGGGUCUUUGUACUCUGAGAAGGAGGAACGUAUUCACUAACAAUUAGAUUGAAAACUAAUACCAGAAAAUUGAAAAACACCAUCGAAUCCUCAAGAGAUAAACCCCCUCCCCGACUCUCUCAUGUGAAAGUCAUAGGUAUUGCUUGUACGGACCCUGCCUGUAGACAUUCUUUACAUCCUGUUGCUGUUCCUCAUCUGCACACAGCCCUCCACCCUCUGGCAAGGCCCGCAUAUCCUCUGCUGGCUUCACAAGGCUUUGAUCCUUGAUGUUUAGUUUCCAGAGGAGCAGAUGGAGCUCUGCUUCGUGGAGGCCUCAACCAAUCCUGCAGGGAGCCCUGGAACUGGGUGGACCCUAUGCAGGUCACCAAACUGAAGUCGAGAGGUCAGCACCCCAUCCUGGGCUUUGUGCUCCUCGCAGGCCAGGCGGCCCCGUGCUUGCGGCCCUUGUCCAGUGAGGAUACAGCUCUGAACCGACCACAGCUGGCGUCCCCAGCACCAGGCUUUCUGUCCCAUGAGGGCAAGGAGUCAUCUUAUUCACGGAUGUGUUUCAAGUGCCUAGAACCCAGCCUGGCCCGCAGUUGGUGCUCAGUAAUUGCUGAUGGACUCCACUGAUCAUUAAUGUAGAGGCCCGGGUGACUGACUUUGACUUGUCUUUUCUCCAAACCUUACCCCCAUUUUUAAAACCCGAUUCUCAUGCACAUACUGGAAUGUCACUUUCUUGAGCCUUAAAAUAUGAAUUUACAAAGUGAUUUGUUUUCUAAGGUUUUAACUCACUGAUUUGCUUACCAAGUUCAAACCCUGUUUGAAAUUAGAUAUUUUUUCUGAUUGAUGUAGCUUACAGACAUGAAUUCAGGGGAAUAUCCUUUCUCAUAGGAAUUUUAUUUCCAAGGCUUCUGCUGGCACUGAAAACAGUCUGUGAUCCUAAGAGACUAUUCACUGUCCAUGACCAUAUCCAAAUAUUUUAACACCAAGCACACAGCCUGCACAGUUGGGCAGCCCAGCUGGUCUGCAGUGUGUGGGGGAGGCUCGUGGCAGGCUGACGUCAAUUGGCAGAGCCAGUCUGAAGAAGCUCAUGCUCAGCCAGCCUCCCACAGGUUUCUCUCUUUUCCAUCCAGUGUUAUCAGCUAACUUUUGUUUCUCAGGAUUCAGAUUCCUCUUCCACAGUUUUCUCAACAAGGAAAUCUGUGGCUUUUCUGGAUUCUUUGGUCAUGUCAUUCUCAACCUAUGACUAUGUCCGUGAAAACUAGAGGAAUGGAGUAUGAAUUGUUACAAUUAAUGACACUUCUAGGUAAGCGUUUAUUCCUCAAGAUGUUGUUCAUUCUUAAAAUAUAUCUGAACCUAUUCUUUCAAGGGUGGACAUUUUUUAUCUGCAAGGUGAUGCAGAUUUUUGCAGAGAAGAGCUGUCAGGCAGUGCAAAGCAGCAGAUUGCAGACAUUAUGAACACUGGUUUAUCAGCUCUUUCCUUGCAUGCAAAGGUCUAUGAAUUUAUCUUUUGUUCUUCAGUUUGUGGGAAGGCCGGUAGUUGCCUGGCUUAGGCUUUUUGAAGGGGACAUCUCUUUGUCACUACAGUAUACAAAUACAGCAAAUGGGAAAAUCACAUAGCAGAACUCAUGAUAGUGUAAUGUAUAAUUGGGUGGAAAAAAACAACCAGCACAGUUCAUUAUAUAAAUAGGAAAUGUUUUCUUCUGCUAACAUUUACUUUCAUCUGCAAUUUCUUCUGCUGUGUCGGCAAUCUAAUUUAAUUAUAGGAUCCGAGUGCCUAAACCUCCAAAAAUAGAAACAGGGAAAGGAGGCGUGAAGGCCGGCCAGGCUCAGGCGCCCGGAUUCCUCAGCUUCUGCGCUGUGUGGGCUCCGCACAGCCCUCGCCAGGGAUGCUCUCGCCCGUGGUCCAGGCUACAGUUUGGCACCAUUUCCUCUCUCCUCAACUGUCCUUGUUUUCUCCCUCUGCCACCAUCUUCUGGGACUUCUGCAGGUAUUUGCUGACCAUUUUUGAGUCGGAUAGUAAAGUUAGUAACUUGCUGGUUUCUCCUAUAUUUCGCUCUUCCGUAUUUACUCGUGAGCUCACCUCGACUCACCUCCUGCACCUGCUUCCAGCCCCAUUUUGCUCUCAACUCUGAGACUCUCACCACAGCGUUCAUCUCUUCAGUCUUUGACUUCCACCGCCUCAAUGAUUCCUCUUUCUUCAUUCUUUUAAAUGAAGUACCAACCUCAACCCUCUCACAUUUAUCCACGCCCACCUCAAGCCUUAAUUCGAACACUAUUUUUUAGUCUUGAAGAUUCCAGGCAGUUAGCCAGCCCCCCUCUCACUGGCGUCCCCCUAUAUCCGCUCCUCCCACGUGCUCCGGGGCUCCACCAGGCUGACUGUCAUUGAGAUCUUCCCACGGAAACAACUCCGCAGCCCCCAGCGUCGCCUCCUUAUCCAAAUCUUGUCUGCAUGUCUUUACACAGCUUUGUCAGAAAAAGCGUCUGUCCGUGAAAGCACGUGCACUG